AGCAAUUUCACUUGUUUUCAGUAAUUCGAAACUAAGUGACCUGGAAUUUAGUCAACAACAACAACACGCUGAGUGAGAAGUAAACACAUGUACUUCCUGCUUGAAGCAGCCGGCAUUUGACAGAUUUCAACGGUUGUGAUCGAAGGCCUUGUUUUGAGGGUGUUUUGCAGACCAGUGGUUGUCGGCCUGGGGAUUUUCAAGAAAAACUGUAGACUGCCCCCUUAAGGUUAUGACUGAAGGCCUUGUUUUAAGGGUGUUUUGCAGACCAGUGGUUGUCGGCCUGGGGAUUUUCAAGAAAAACUGUAGACUGCCCCCAAACAUUCAGUAUUUAUAGUACCCGGAGCGUAGUGUAACUCAAAGACGAAAGUAUAGGCAAGAAAA